GCUCUGCCGCCGCCCAUUUCCCGUUCACAUGUAUGGCAGAGACGGGGGACCCAAUCUUUACGGGCCUCCACUUGGAUGCCCUUGGGGUUAAGCCGAAACGCAAGCAGUUGUUGCUGCCUGCCGCCCGGCCGGAUGCUCUAAUCCGUUCCCGACAGCUCACCUCGCAGGCGUAGAGAGGCUCU
rnacentral:sRNA from 2 species